rnacentral:ncRNA from 1 species
GGCCGAAGGUGGGAUUAGUGAUUGGGGUGAAGUCGUAACAAGGUAGCCGUAGGAGAACCUGCGGCUGGAUCACCUCCUUU